UCUUUUGACUCUUGUUCCUCCAAAUCCUUCUCUUUUACAUGUAUAUUUUCCUCUAUUCUCCUCGUCUUUUUCUCCUUCAAUAGUGUAAAACUUUUGAAUUAAUGAAAAGUCAGAUUCUGGUGAGGAUGAGAUUUGGGAAGAUUGUAGAAGGCUUGAAGUCCAAGAUAAAGGCAAGUCUAAGGAUGAGGAAGAGAUCCUCAUUAUCAUCAUCAUCAUCAUCGUCAUCAUCAUCAUCAUCGUAUGAGAAGAUAGAGAAGACGGACAGUAUGAGAUUUGAGUUAAGAAGCAGAAAGGCACACAAAAUUAUCCAACAAACUCUUCGGAUUGCCGACUCUCCAACCUCAAGAACUUAUGCUUUAUGAUUUCAUCGUCGACUCUCCAACCUCAAGAACUUAUGCUUUAUGAUUUCAUCGUUUUACCAUCCAAAACAUAUUCAUACAUACAUAUAGACUUGCGUGUACGCAUCUGUUUAUACAUAUCCAUCUAAAUUGUUGUACGUGUGUGUAUGUAUGUGUGAAAGGUUACAUGGAUGAUGUCAUGGGUGAUGGAUAUUAUCUUGGCUAAUGGAUGAUGAUUAGAUGAA